rnacentral:rRNA from 1 species
GACGUAGGGGGCAAGCGUUGUCCGGAAUCAUUGGGCGUAAAGAGCGUGUAGGCGGCCUGGUAAGUCCGCUGUGAAAGUCCAGGGCUCAACCCUGGAAUGCCGGUGGAAACUGUCAGGCUCGAGUACGGAAGAGGCGAGUGGAAUUCCUGGUGUAGCGGUGAAAUGCGCAGAUAUCAGGAGGAACACCAAUGGCGAAGGCAGCUCGCUGGGACGGUACUGACGCUGAGACGCGAAAGCGUGGGGAGCAAACAGG